CAGGCAGUGCACCGACUUCUGACGUGCAGUCCAACGUGAUGGGGACCCUGCCUGUAAGAGGUCACGGUCAAGGGGUGUCAGACAGAAACUGCCAUGGGGGCAGCAAACUCUUGGGCAGUAUCUCAGUACUCACAUUUGCCUCUGGGUUUUUUUUGCAGGAGAUGUAGACAGCCUGACAUGGCCGAAGGCAACUCACAGUGAGGUGACAGACACUGUUUGGUCCUCUGGAGCUCUCCUUGUAGGUAAUCUCCGAGUAUUGAAAAGAUCAGCAGCGAAGGAUUGAGUUUUUUUGAUUGCAGGUACCAUCCUUGUAACCUUUGGGAGCAGAUGAGCAUUGGAGGUAUCCCAGAAGAUGACAGCACAUUGUCCAAGUCUGGUCAUAGGCUGACACGAGGACCUGCCUGGGUGACAUUGACUGCCAGUAGUCUGACGAUGGCAGGAAUCUCUGAGCCAGCCCAGGUGCCCCUCCUGUGCAUCAAAGAUGGAUUGGCAUCCCCAGCUCUCGGAAAGAUAAGUGCAGGGCAAAGCCCCAGAGAGGGGCUGGGAGUGGGUGCAAGUCUGUGCCUCGCCUGGAGGGAUUUUUGA
rnacentral:lncRNA from 1 species